GAUGAACGCUGGCGGCGUGCUUAACACAUGCAAGUCGAACGAUGAAGCCCAGCUUGCUGGGUGGAUUAGUGGCGAACGGGUGAGUAACACGUGAGUAACCUGCCCUUAACUCUGGGAUAAGCCUGGGAAACUGGGUCUAAUACCGGAUAGGAGCGUCCACCGCAUGGUGGGCGUUGGAAAGAUUUAUCGGUUUUGGAUGGACUCGCGGCCUAUCAGCUUGUUGGUGAGGUAAUGGCUCACCAAGGCGACGACGGGUAGCCGGCCUGAGAGGGUGACCGGCGACACUGGAACUGAGACACGGCCCAGGCUCCUACGGAAGGCAGCGGUGAAGAAUAUUGCACUAUGGGCGCAAGACUGAUGCAGCGACACCGCGUGAGGGAUGACGGCCUUCGGGUUGUAACCCUCUUUCAGUAGGGAAGAAGCGAAAGUAACGGUACCUGCAGAAGAAGCACCGGCUAACUACGUG
rnacentral:rRNA from 1 species